AUGAACUAUGAACUUCCAGAUGUUCAAGCUGGUUUUAGAAAAGGCAGAGGAACCAGAGAUCAAAUUGCCAACAUCCACUGGAUCAUCAAAAAAGCAAGACAGUUCCAGAAAAGCAUCUAUUUCUGCUUUAUUGACUAUGCCAAAGCCUUUGACUGUGUGGAUCACAAUAAACUGUGGAAAAUUCUGAAAGAGAUGGGAAUACCAGACCACCUGACCUGCCUCUUGAGAAACCUAUAUGCAGGUCAGGAAACAACAGUUAGAACUGGACAGGGAACCACAGACAGGUUCCAAAUAAGAAAAAGAGUGCGUCAAGGCUGUAUACUGUCACCCUGCUUGUUUAAUUUCUAUGCAGAGUACAUCAUGAGAAAUGCUGGGCUGGAAGAAGCACAAGCUGGAAUCAAGAUUGCCAGGAGACAUAUCAAUGACCUCAGAUAUGCAGAUGACACCACCCUUAUGGCAGAAAGUGAAGAGGAACUAAAAAGCCUCUUGAUGAAAGUAAAAGAGGAGAGUGAAAAAGUUGGCUUAAAGCUCAACAUUCAGAAAACGAAGAUCAUGGCAUCUGGUCCCAUCACUUCAUGGGAAAUAGAUGGGGAAACAGUGAAAACAGUGGCAGACUUUAUUUUUGGGGGCUCCAAAAUCACUGCAGAUGGUGACUGCAGCCAUGAAAUUAAAAGACGCUUACUCCUUGGAAGGAAAAUUAUGACCAACCUAGAUAGCAUAUUAAAAAGCAGAGACAUUACUUUGCCAACAAAGGUCUGUCUAGUCAAGGCUAUGAUUUUUCCAGUGGUCAUGUAUGGAUGUGAGAGUUGGACUAUGAAGAAAGCUGAGCGCCGAAGAAUUGAUGCUUUUGAACUCUGGUGUUGGAGAAGACUCUUGAGAGUCCCUUGGACUGCAAGGAAAUCCAGCCAGUCCAUUCUGAAGGAGAUCAACCCUGGGAUUUCUUUGGAAGGAAUGAUGCUCAAGCUGAAGCUCCAGUAUUUUGGCCACCUCAUGCGAAGAGUUGACUCAUUGGAAAAGACUCUGAUGCUGGGAGAGAUUGGGGGCAGGAGAAGAAGGGGACGACGGAGGAUGAGAUGGCUGGAUGGCAUCACCGACUCAAUGGAUGUGAGUCUGAGUGAACUCUGGGAGCUGGUGAUGGACAGGGAGGCCUGGUGUGCUGCGAUUCAUGGGGUUGCAAAGAGUUGGACACAACUGAGUGACUGA
rnacentral:lncRNA from 1 species